AUCUCAAGUGAGGUUUUCUUUUAUUUUUCUUAUUAUUAGCUACUCUUCUGAAGUUGAAAGCUUUUUAAAAGAGCACUAUAGGACUUGAAAGGAUUCUGUCAUUUUGACAUUCUCAUAAUGGUUUCAACAUUGUCUAUAUACUCAAAUCUCGCUAUGACACACCAUGUUAUGGUGUUAGGAAACACGAAGUUAUCAAGAUGAUAUAACAAUGGGAAGCUAUUGGCUGAGAUAACUAGUACAUUGGCAAAACUUUGCCACAAAAAGUUACAAAUACCAGGAUGAUAUUUUGUUCAAAGCAUGAGCAGACC
rnacentral:lncRNA from 1 species